AGAAUACUGAAACCCUAGCUUCACAAUAAUGUUAUUUGCUUUGACGCCACUAACUCUUGGUUCGAGUAAAUUAACAAUAUCCUGCUUAUAGUCCAAGUUAUAUUUGAUAAAAAAUUUGAAAAAAUUUAAAGACUAGCACAACUCUGAAAAUUCCAUAAGAAAAUAGUAAAAUUCAUGAUUAAAAAAUUAAAAAUGUUGGAAACAUAACCUUACUAUUGAUGGACAGAAACCCCAUUCGAUUCUGAAACUGCUACUCAUUUCAUUUCAUUUUCUGUGUCAACAGUCAUCUGAGAAGAUAAUAGUUCUACUACUGCCUCCAUGGACUCAGCUAAGUGAAGCCGAUAAUUUCUAAAAGAUUUAAAAUGGCUUCCCCGUCCCUUUAAACCGCUGGUCGAUUUUCAACCACCACGGAUUACAUUAAAUUUGCCAAUAGUGCUCUUAUUUUUAGCGUUUGAAGAAGAAAUUCCUGUAGUCUCUGUGUUAUACCUGACAGCAAACCCGGAUGAAUUUUGUUGAGAAUUAUCUCUAAAAAUCACUGCAGAAUUCUUACCUGGGUCCAGGACGCCUCCGGUCAACUGGGCUAUAUCGCCUUUAGGUCCUUCAAAAGUUGGAUUAAAAUGGGUCUUAACACCAUCAAUUUGUUCAGUUGGCAUGAGAGCCUAUUUACCCGAUAGUGAAUUACUUGGAACAGAAAAAGAGAAAGGUACGUUGCAUUCAAAAUUAAUAGGAGGGUUAAAAGAAAUUUGACUAAUAAUUCCAUGAGAUUCUAGCACAACAGCUUCUCCAAUGUAUGCAAGGUCGUUUAAAACACCCCCAUUCUGCUCCGAAAACCCGUGGCCCCAAACCCCCUAGCUUUUUUAUUCCUAUAAGGCCUUCGAAAUAAUUUCGGCUGAAUUCUGAUUUGUUUGCG
rnacentral:lncRNA from 1 species